AUUUUACUCAUGUUGAUGAUACAACAUUCUUUUGAACGUUCUUAUGCUAUUGAUGUUGGUUUCGGUAAUGUAGUAGACCUUGAGGCUUUUUUAGACAAAUUUUAUGAUUUUAUUGACUAAAUAAAAUAAUUAUAGCACAUUGGGCCCAACACCCUUAUGAGUCCACACACAAAAAUAAAAUGAAAAAAAAAAUAAGAACUUCACUCUUAUUUUCCAAAUCCUCACAUUUGGAAAUAUAUUAUCAUUGCAUACGAACUUCACUCUUCUUCUUUGGGUAAUCAUUAUUCUUGGUCGAAUCCUACCUUUUCCUGCUUUAUCAGCUAUCAAGAUUAUUACAUUUCUCUUUCCUUGCUUAUUUUUGAUAUCUUUAUUGCUUUGACUGACUCUUCUUCUUUUCCAGUUGAGCUCUUCGAUGGAUGGUGUAGGUGUACUACAACACUCUAUAGGAUCUGGUCUCUUAUUAGCUUGUCCUUUCACUUGGUGAAGCUGGAAUGGAGUGUAGGGGUAGUUUUAAUCCACCACCCAAAUGUUGGAAGUUCAAGUUCCAGGUUCUUCAAGAUUGAUUUGACCUAAGAUCCUUUCAUUUGUCGGGCCCUUUUUGUUGGUUGAAGUAAAUAGGCUAGAUAGCAUUUCACAUUUUUUGCUUUCUGUGAGCCUCUUGUAAUUAUGCUUUAGAUAGAUAUAGUAAUUUUAAGGAAGGCUUAUUGGAAGAGGAAGAUAUAGAAGAACCAGAAUUAGAAGGACUCUUAUCCCUACUAGUUCGGCUACAAAAUUAUUGAAAGAAGAUGAAGUAGGAAAUUUACCUACGUUUACUAGAAUAGGAAAGACCGAACGUCUUAAGAAAUCAUUAAUUUGAAAAUUUAUGAUCCAAAAUAAGAAGAAAAUCACUGCUACUUGCAAUAAAUGUAAGUAGAUGGGGAAAUAUUUGACUGGGGGAUUACACGAUGGGGCAGGACAGUUAACUAGAUAUUUGAGAGGUUAUGUUUCUGAAUUUGUUCGGCAAGAAGAUAUUGCUAAGGCUAAAAAAAUGAUAUGCUCUUACUUGUACUAGAUAAUCUCUAGGAGGUUUUAACAUAGUACAGAAUAUUUUAGAUUUUACUAUCCGUCUGGCCUGAGCAUAUCACUCACAUAUAGUCAUGAAAGAGAUCGUGAAGAAUUAGCUAAAAUGAUUGUGAUUUGCGGUUUGUCUUUUAGUUUUAGUGAACGUUUUGAUUUUAUUCAUUAUAUUUUAAAAGUGUAUAGACCUUAUUUUCAGGUUUUUUCAAAAAAUACAAUUAAAGCAAAUAUUUUUAAAUGUCAAUGUGAAUAUUUUCAUUUUCUUCGUUGCUAUUUUGCUUAUUUUGAUGGUAAAAUAUCUAUCACUUUUGAUAUGGAUAAUAGUCCUAACGAUAAUGAUUAUUUUACUCUUACAGCUCAUUGAAUUGAUCAUGAAUGAAACAUGCAAAAAGAAUUUAUAAGCUAUAAAUAUGUUGAAGAGGCUAAAAUAGAUAGUUAUAGUGCUUGUUUGACAGGAGAUAUUCUAAAAUAUUUUAGACUUAGUGAUAUGAUAAUGGGUGUCACGUUAGAUAAUGCUUUUGCUAAUUUGAAAGUUGUUGAUUUUUUAAAAUCUACUUUGUUCAAUUGAUGAGGAUGCUUUUAUGUUAAGUGUAAUGUGCAUAUUUAUAAUUUAAUAGUGAUGGAUGGUAUUGACGUAUUUGAUGAUUCUUGUAUUAGAAUUCGAGUUGCUUGUUCAUGGAUUUUUAAAGCUAAAAUAAGGUCUAGAAUUUGGAAAUUUAAAAAAUCUUGUGCUAUAUUUGAAAUAUUAUUUAGAAAAAAUUCAAAAGAAGUGACUGCUAGAUGAAAUUCUUUAUAUGAAAUGCUUGAUGUUGCUAUUGUUUAUCGUGUGAUUUACAAAUGAUGUAUAAUAAACAUAAUUCGUAUCGGAGAAUGCAAAUCACCGAGGAGGGUUGAAAAGAAUGCUAAGAACUUAUCAGUUUUUUUAAAAAAUAUUUAUAGUGCUAAAAAUAUUAUAUCUGGUCAAUAUUAACCUACUAUUUCUUCGGCUUUAGUAAAUAUUUGUAUUAUCUCAUUUGAAUUUGUUAAAUAUAAAUAUCGUGAACAUUUCGAAGUUGUUGUUACAUAUAUGAUUGAAAAAUUCUAAAAAUAUUUUUUCCUUUUCCUCAAAUAUUUUUAACUUCUACUUUGUUCAACCCAACUUAUAAAGAACAAGGUGUGAAAAAAAUGAUUGAAAAGAUUUAUAAAAAUUUAUUUAUUUAUUUUGCUUUAAUUUGGUCUUUUGUUAAAAAAAUUAAAUCAUAUUAAUGGACUAACCCAUUAUACAAUUAAACAUUGUAGGCCUAUUUAUCUGAUCCGCCCCAACCCGUAGUCAAAAUAACAACAAAUAUAAUCUGUGAAUUCCCUAAAAUAGAUAAAUUUCCUAAUCCCUAACUCAUUUACCCGCCUUUCACCAUUUUCCUCCCUUUCUUCGAAUCUGGUUUCUUUCGAUUAUUACUCUGGAGAAUUGAUAUUGUACCACCUUCUAGUCGAUGCUUCUCCUUCAGAUGCACCUUCCACCACAUUUUUAUCAUCUCUGAUGGCUCUAUUUAAUAGGGAUAAGCUGCUACUUCCAGUAAAGGAAGCAUUUGAAGAAUCCCUUUUCUUCUUUACAAUCAGGUUUAUGAAGCUGAAAUAUCCCUCUAAAUACUUCGAUGACAGUGAAGUAGUUCAGGGUAUUGAAAACAUAGUUUGUUUUUGCUGUGUUAUUGACUUGUUCACCAUAUGCUCUACCUAGCCUAACUUCCCUGGUGCCCUUUAUCCCUUUAGUGGAGUGAUUCUCAAAUAAGGGCACUACCAUUUAUCACUAUUAAGAAUAGUUUUUCCUUUCUUGUGAAGUUGUUGAAAACUGGUAAUAGUGAUUGCUCCAGAGUCUAUUACUAAAUUAGCAAGAUAAUCAGCAAACUGAUUUCCCUCUCUA